rnacentral:rRNA from 1 species
UACGUAGGUGGCAAGCGUUGUCCGGAUUUAUUGGGCGUAAAGGGAGCGCAGGCGGUUCCUUAAGUCUGACGUGAAAGCCCACGGCUCAACCGUGGAAGGUCAUUGGAAACUGGGGAACUUGAGUGCAGAAGAGGAGAGUGGAAUUCCAUGUGUAGCGGUGAAAUGCGUAGAUAUAUGGAGGAACACCAGUGGCGAAGGCGACUCUCUGGUCUGUAACUGACGCUGAGGCUCGAAAGCGUGGGGAACAAACAGGAUUAGAUACCCCUGUAGU